UGCCAAUCCCAGCCCGUCCUUCGCCUCCUCUGCCACUCCUCGCCCUCCUUUGGCGGACCUAGCCACCUCCGACCUUUGAUCCGCUGCCGCCAUCUAGACUCCUCCACACACCCAGCUAGCACGCCACCUGACGCCCUCAUUGCCCACAUGUGUCGGCCUCUCCGAUCCCACUGUUGCGCCCGCCCUUGUCCUCGCCGGCGUUGCGGCCGGAGGACACGUUGGCCCCAGCUCCACCGCCAGCGGCAACGGAUCUCAGGAAGCACGGCGGUGAUGGCUCAGUGUAGGGCAGGCUGUGGCCAUACGGUGUCACCACGCUAAGGACGAGAUCUCUGCGCCUUUUCUAAGACGAGCUGGGCUGCGGGGGUGGUCGCCCAACGCCGAAAGGGAGGUGGCUGCAUGUGGGGGAGAGGGCGCUGUGAUGAUCUUGUUCUGAUCUAGCUAUUCUCUAUUCUGGAAUAGGAAUGGAGCGCAGGAGUGGUCACUAUGUUCUCCAGUUCAGUUCAUUGUUGCGACGUACAGCCCCAACCUAGCAAGAACAUCUAUCAGUAUAUUAUGGUUUAGGAACGAUAGAAAUUCUGUCUGCAAUAAUCAUUCGAAGGUGCUGCUUUACAAUUUCUUCACGGUAAUCUUAUGCUACAACAUAUGUCUUGCUUAUUUCA